rnacentral:rRNA from 1 species
GACGACGCUGGCGGCGUGGAUUAGGCAUGCAAGUCGAACGGUAUCAUCCUUCGGGGGUGAGAGAGUGGCGAACUGGUGAGUAACACGUAGGUUAUCUACCCUCAAGACGGGACAACCCAGGGAAACUUGGGCUAAUACCGGAUGUGAGCAACUUUUAGUGUUUGAAAGGUGGCGUAAGCUGUCGCUUGGGGAUGAGCCUGCGUCCUAUUAGUUAGUUGGUGAGGUAACGGCUCACCUAGGCAAUGAUAGGUAGGCGGCCUUAACGGGUGGUCGCCCACACUGGGAUUGAGAUACGGCCCAGACUCCUACGGGAGGCAGCAGUCGAGAAUAGUCUACAAUGGUCGGAAGACUGAUAGUGCGACGCCGCGUGAACGAUGAAUCCCUUCGGGGUGUAAAGUUCUUUUAUAUGUGAGCAGUGCUUCUUAUAUUAACAGUAUGGGGAGAGAGAUAUUAGCAUAUGAAUAAGCAACGGCUAACUCCGUG